GUAACACAAAUUAGUGACAAAUUAGUACUCAACACAAUGAUGGUAUAAGAAUUUAGUCAGAGAAAAGUGGGUACAAGGUACUUCACACAGAGGAUUCAUUCUUCCAUUGAGGUAUCUCUGAGCACUUUGUCCAGACCUUAAAAUUUCUGAUACAAAAUUAUUUUUAUUUCAGCACUAAAAUCUUGGUUUGCCACAUUUCAAAACCAGUUUUAGAUUAGGACUGAGGUUCAAGGACUUACAAAUGCAGUGCAUUUAUAAUAUGCAGUGAAUCAGUCUAGCAGUUGGCUUCAGAGAGGAGAUGAUCAGAGAUGCAUGUACAAAGUAUAAAUAAACUGUGUGCAAUAUUAAAAGAUACACUUCAGUAGAAGUUUUGAUUAGUAAGAAUGUAGUCUUAAUGCUGUGUAUGGUUCAUUCAGGCUCCAAAAUAUGGAAGGAGACCAAAUUAGUUAUUCUGAGUCAACUACAUGUGAUGGCAGAUGACAGAGUCUAUAAUUUGGAAUUGGUAUACAAAAGAGCUCCCCAAGACUGAGAGCAGUGUUAUCUGACAUGAAGAAAAUACUUCUGUUUGGGGUGGAUUCUUCCCUCUUGUUUUCUCUGAGUCCUUUUUGCCUUUUGUACCCAGAUUUCAGGGGACUGCCUUUGCUGCUGAACACAGAUCACUCACAUAUUACAGUAAAUUGCCAUUAUUUUCAAUUGGAUGAUUUUUACAUCCAAUAAAGGGAAGAAAAUGUAGGCAGGUGUGAGCAAAAUGUAGCUUUGUUUAAAAUAAAAGAAUUAUAUUACCAAGGACCCUCGUCUGUAUACAUAGAAAUUUCUUUUUCAAUGUCAGUUGUUUUUAACAUCAUAUUAGUGCAUGUUUUCUUUUUCCUUACUGUUAUAUCAGAGGUACAGUUCUGUUGGGCCUUGCUCAUGGACUGAUGCUUUCAUUUUGGAGCUGGUCUUCUGUCAUCAAUUUUGCCUUGUUUCUCAUAGGUUUGGCAUCAUCAGCUGGUCUCCUUUAUUUACAUACCUGGAGUGCUGCUGUUGCAGGCAGCAUUCUUGGUAUCUUUACUAUGUGUGUGUGGCCUCAACUAGCUGGACACUUUGUCAGCUGUCUGCAUCCUGGGAAAGCCAUGAGUACAGCCAUGUUUGCCUAUGUUCUUGAAUUAUUCUUCUGUGUAUGGUGUACAGCUUAUAAAUUUGUACCUGGAGGAGUUUACAUUAGAGAAAGCUCCCAUCUUCUUCUAGGUACAUUUGUGACAAUGAACAAAUACAAAUAUGCUUGCUUUAGCCUCAGGCAGGUGAAAUGCAUCUAGUGUAUAAAGAGUCUUUUCAAAUGCUCGGUUACUGUUUACUUGCUUACUGUGGUAAGAAUUUCAGUGCAAAAAUUAAUGAGACAUGCAAAAUAUAAUCGACUUGUUUCUUUACUGUUAGAAAUAGUCUAAGAUACGGAAAGAAAAUGGAAUUCAGUAAAGGGAAAAUGGAAAAGUGGAAAAAUGUCUGAUAACUAAAGUACGCGGUGGAGGAAGAGAUCUGUUAAUCAGUCACCCUAAAAAUAUGGCUGCAAUCCAGGGUGUGAAUGCACGAAUAUGCUGGCUACCUAAGGUAGCAGUGCCUCAGGUAACAGGGUAGCUACUGAGACUGUAAUAUAAUUCAGUGCAUUAUUCAGCCCUACUCUGCAGAGCAAGGUGCAGCAUCCUGCUGAUCUAGCUAGUCUACAUUGGAGACCUGAGCUUCUUUUCCAUGUGGCUCUACCUUAUGUUUUGUGGGCACACCAGAAUGUUUGGGGGAAUUCAGAUGAGCCUGUAGCAUCAGAAACACAUGAACAGAACAGGCAGAAAAGAAAUUGUCAGGUAUUUGCAAAUAAGGAAGGAAUUGAGAAGUUGAGCAAAUAUAAAGGCUUUAACAAAAUUAUCACGUGAUGAGGGCGGAGAGGUGGAAAGGAAACCAAUCCUUCCUCGUUUUGUCUCCAGAACUAUUUUCCCAAUAGGUACCAACAUGUUUCAAUGGCAUAUUUCACUAAUCGUAUUUAAGCAAUGCCAAACAUUGUCUUGGCUAAUUGUGUGGGGCUUUUUUUAAAAUGUG
rnacentral:lncRNA from 12 species